AUGUUAACUGGAAAUAAAUUCACCGAGUCUGGGAACACUGAAUAUGAACAAUGCAGGUUCUCAGUUACGCAGCACCCAAGGCAGCCUUGCAAUGCAGCACGUACCUUUUUUGCUUGAAAACCUAACACCACAACCUUGUAAGAUUACAACGCAGCAGCUCCGCGGGAAUGGAAAUAGUGUCCCACGUUGUCUGUCCCUUCUAACAGCAGGAAAAAGCUGCUGAGCCACAAAGGAGUCAGUCUGGCUGCUUUCGGCUGAGCCGCUCUCUGGGGCAGAUAAGUAAACAGCCGGGCAGCUCUCUGACAUAAAUUACUGGAGUCCUUGACAGCGGGGACAUUGACCAGGGUCGCCUGAUAAGGGGCGGGGGUGGGGGGUGGCUGAGACUUGCUUCUCCGCCUUUCCUAUUUGCCUGCUUCACAAGAACUGUCACUGAGGGGAAAAAGAAUAGACACUUCGUAGGCAACCGUCCAGGCCCCUGGGUGUUCCCAUCACCUUCAAGAGAGAAGGCGGCAUUGUCAGAAUGGUUUAAGCCAGCUGUUCGCUUUUUCCAUCACUCGGUUCUUGGCAGCUCCAAGAGGGUAGCUGUGAUGUCACUGGUUUCCACAACCCUGGUCUGUCCAGAAAUAUUUCCCCGAGGCUGACUCACUUGGCCAUUUUUGGAGUAUUUUCAUGAGCCAUACCAAUGCUGAAGCUACACUUCCCCAACAUGGUACCCACUAUUAUUAUAUUAUGUUUAUUUAUAUCCCUCUUUUCUCUCCAACAAGGAGACUCAAAGCGGCUUACAUUAAAGGCCUUUCAGUACAGUUUAAAAUCUAUGAAUAUGCAAACAUUAAAACAGAAUGAAAUGUAAAUGGUAUUAAAAAUUCAGAGUUAAAAUCCAUAAAAACAUAAUAAAAUCUACAAGUGUUGGUGUUCUUGUCAGCUCCAACUUCUACAACCAGUAGUCAAGGACAAUGGUGUCAUAUAGAUAAGGUUGCCAAAUCUCAGUGCUUGGUUCCGAGUCUCUAGUUUUCAUGAGUCAUCUUUACACAGGAGGUAAAGGUGCAAAUUCUCCAUUUUGGGUAGGCUCUGCUCCUGGGAUGAGGAAAUCUUAACUACAAGUUUGCUAGAGUUUUACAAAACUCAACUGAUUU
rnacentral:lncRNA from 1 species